rnacentral:tRNA from 1 species
ACGGAUGUAGCUUAAUUGGCAGAGCAUCGGUCUCCAAAACCGAAGGUUGUAAGUUCAAUUCUUACCAUCCGUG